rnacentral:rRNA from 1 species
UGGGGAAUCUUGCGCAAUGGCCGAAAGGCUGACGCAGCGACGCCGCGUGUGGGAGGACGCUCUUCGGGGUGUAAACCACUGUUGCCCGGGACGAACGCACCAUUUCGAUGGUGCUGACGGUACCGGGUGGGGAAGCACCGGCUAACUCCGUGCCAGCAGCCGCGGUAAUACGGAGGGUGCGAGCGUUGUCCGGAAUCACUGGGCGUAAAGGGCGCGUAGGUGGCCGAGCAAGGUCGCGGUGAAAGCCCGGGGCUCAACCCCGGGUCGGCCGUGGCAACUACUUGGCUUGAGCACUGUAGGGGCGGGCGGAAUUCCGGGUGUAGCGGUGGAAUGCGUAGAUAUCAGGAGGAACACCGGUGGCGAAGGCGGUUCUCUGGGCAUGACCUGACGCUGAGGAGCGAAAGUGUGGGGAGCGAACAGGAUUAGAUACCC